GACGAACGCUGGCGGCGUGCUUAACACAUGCAAGUCGAACGGAAAGGCCCCUUUGGGGGUCCUCGAGUGGCGAACGGGUGAGUAACACGUGAGUAACCUGCCCUUGACUUCGGGAUAACUUCAGGAAACUGGGGCUAAUACCGGAUAGGAAUCCUUGCUGCAUGGUGGGGGUUGGAAAGCUUCGGCGGUUUUGGAUGGACUCGCGGCUUAUCAGCUUGUUGGUGGGGUAGUGGCUUACCAAGGCUUUGACGGGUAGCCGGCCUGAGAGGGCGACCGGCCACAUUGGGACUGAGAUACGGCCCAGACUCCUACGGGAGGCAGCAGGGGGGAAUAUUGCACAAGGGGCGGAAGUCUGAUGCAGCAACGCCGCGUGCGGGAUGACGGCCUUCGGGUUGUAAACCGCUUUCAGCAGGGGCGAAGCUUGUGGUGACGGUACCUGCAGAAGAAGCACCGGCUAACUACGUG
rnacentral:rRNA from 1 species